AUUGAACGCUGGCGGCAUGCUUUACACAUGCAAGUCGAACGGCAGCACAGCAGAGGUAACUCUGUGGGUGGCGAGUGGCGAACGGGUGAGUAAUACAUCGGAACGUACCCUGUUGUGGGGGAUAACUACGCGAAAGCGUAGCUAAUACCGCAUACGCCCUGAGGGGGAAAGCGGGGGACCCUAAAUAGAGCGCACUGGGGAGUGCGUUGUAUUUAGGGCCUCGCGCAAUAGGAGCGGCCGAUGUCGGAUUAGCUAGUUGGUGAGGUAAAGGCUUACCAAGGCGACGAUCCGUAGCUGGUCUGAGAGGAUGAUCAGCCACACUGGGACUGAGACACGGCCCAGACUCCUACGGGAGGCAGCAGUGGGGAAUUUUGGACAAUGGGGGGCAACCCUGAUCCAGCCAUGCCGCGUGAGUGAUGAAGGCCUU
rnacentral:rRNA from 1 species